rnacentral:rRNA from 1 species
AGCGUAGGCGGACAUUUAAGUCAGGGGUGAAAUCCCGGGGCUCAACCUCGGAAUUGCCUUUGAUACUGGGUGUCUUGAGUAUGAGAGAGGUAUGUGGAACUCCGAGUGUAGAGGUGAAAUUCGUAGAUAUUCGGAAGAACACCAGUGGCGAAGGCGACACACUGGCUCAUUACUGACGCUGAGGCUCGAAAGCGUGGGGAGCAAACA